CUUUCUCUCUCUCUCUCUCUCUCUCUCACACACACACACACAGAGAGAGAGAGAAAAUCUAGUGAUGAAAGGUGUGUAUGUGUUUGUAUAAAGACUGGGUGGAAUCUAUGCAGCACGCAGUCCAUCAGUUAACCAGAUCGGAGCUUGCAAUCCAUCAGUUAAUAUUUUAUAUUUAAAGAGCCUGCUGCAUUUAACACAGCAACAUAUUGCAGAACAAAGCUGAGGCUCUUAAAGGAUCAACGUACCCCCAUCCCCCCUGAUUUUCCAGGCUGUUGGAUUCCAGCAUCUUUUCCUGCUCUCUCAUAUCAGCCUGCAUUCCCUUAACAGAAACCAGCUGGCAAAUCUUAAUCUGAGAAUUCCACACAAUUGAAGCCAAGUGAAAGCAAAAGAACAAAACUCACAGGACAAAAGAGUUGAACAUGACCAGGCUUAAUACCACUGCAAAGCAUCUGGGAAAGAUUUGACAUUUUCACCCUGAGCAGUUGUUGAUUCAAGAAGAGAGAGCAGCCAGGAUUCUGUGCCAAGUAUAUUUGGCAGGAAAGAUUUGCCAGAAAAGGCAUUGCACUUCUCAGCAGCAAAUAAGUUCCCUUUUUCUGCCCUUUAAUGGUUGCCAUCAAUCUUGACAGAGUCAGAUUUUUCCCACAUGAACGUGCAUGCUUUUUUGCUUUCUCUCCAUCUGACAUCCAGGACUGGUAUCUGAGAAACAGCAGAAGAGAAAAGUUAAAAACAUCAAGGGCUUCCUGAGGCCAGUCACCAGAGAGCAAACAAGAUGGUGAGCAAGGGUAAUUCAGAAAGUCCCUCCCUCCCUCUUUCAUUGGUCAAUUCAAGGAGGGGAAAACACCUGCCCUUUUUACAUCUGUCUGUCACAUUAUACUUUUUGCUCUAAUUAGCCAAAGAUCUCAACACUUCAAAUGGAGAGACAGAGGAAACUUUUACUGCAACUCAAAUUUACCCCGUAUUAAAGCAAUUCUUAUAACCUUUUAAAAGCUGUAGGAGAUGAAUAUCAGGCUGGAAUUCUUCUGUUAUUUCCCCUCCAUUUUAGAAUUUUUUAAGAACAGGAGAUGGCAGUGUUUAGUUCAGAUCUCACAGUAUUUUUGAUUAAAAUGCUAACUCAUCAGUUUUCAUAAUUACAAUAGUGUAGAGAGGGAAAUAAAAUAAAGGCCAGCCAUACUCAUACCAAGAUUUAUUGAAGGACUGUGGAGAAAAGAAUUUGCUCCCUUUUGAGACCUAAAAAAUUAAUGUGAAGAGGACAUGUAUUCUUUCAAUUAGCAUUUUUUAAUUGCAAAGAAAGACAAGUCAUGAUCAUUUUAAACACUCAGAAUUCAGGCCCUAUUCAAAAUGGAAGAGCCUAGCUUUCCUUCUACAUCUAACUCUCCCUAACACAGAGAAAAACAAUAUUUUAGGCCCAGCCUGAAGCCAGGCAAAGGAGCAGCUGAUUCACAGCUCACACUUACCUCACACUGUCCCAGACACUGUAUAAUAGCACUUAUACAUAUUUUAUGAAAGAUAACAUAUUCUAUCAACAUGCAAUAAAACAAAACUAUAUAUAAUGACUAGCCAUAAAUCAUAUACUCUAAAAAUGUUAAAUGCAAAAAGAAAUGUUUUGGGUAUGUCUUUUAGGGCAAUCCAGAGCUUCCUCUGCUAACAGACACCACAGACGAGCAAUAAGGAAAAAAAUGAUGGUGCAACUAAAGAAUUUUAAAUUCUUCAUGUUCCAUCUACCCUCCAAGCAGUUCUGUGCUUUAUUAUUGUUAUACUCUAGUUUGCCAAUUAUGAUUUGUGCACACUGUUUCCUGUUUGAAAUUUAUUUAAAAUAUGUACCAUCACUCUGACAGGAAUAAAACAGAGUUUACUUUUGCUUUCAAAUAUUUUUCCUCAGAAAUAAAUAAUUUUGUUGAAGGGAAAUUACUGCUUUAAAGGACAUUAUUAAACUUAGCAGUUGUAGUAUAGGUCCUUUGGCAGAAUGAUGUAACAGCCUUGUAGCCUGUGCCAGUUUGGAGUUGGUUCAGGUGCAAAAGCUGGAGACUUUUUUCCUCUGGGACCCAACCUUCUGGGGAAGGUUGAGGGACUUUACUGGACUUUGUUAUAGCCAUGCCAUUGGGCAGUCGUAACCCAUUGUCAACAUUCCAGCCUCAGAAUUCUUUAAUCUGUGUAAAUAAAAUACAACUUUCCAUUCCAUCCUCAUUCCAGCAUUUCAGUAUCAGUGGAAGACACUAUUGCUUUAAGAACAAUAAAACUCUGAUCAGCAUUUCUAUAUAAAUGGGGUGAGACGAUCAAUUUCAUUUCCAACAACAAAGGAUCUUGGUCCACUCUGAUAAGCCCAGAUCCCCAGGGCUUUCUCCCACACAUAUGUGCUACAAAACUCUAGGAAUAGAAAAGGGAAAAUAAAUAUAGCAACAGAAAAAGCAGUGUUCUAAAGAAUUUACCUUUAGGAGAUGAGCAAAAUAAUACACAAGUCCCUAAAAGUAUCUUUGCUGGCAAGCAUGCAGGAACAGGUGAACAUAAUGCAAGAGACAUAGCCAGCAUUAAAGAUUUAUAUUUUGAAUCCCUGUUCCAGAUCCUUGUACACCUAUUUUUGAAAACAGAAUGUGUGAACACAAAGAACAGGAUUUUUUUUUCUUUUUGCAGCACUAAGACUGCUUUAUGGAAUAGGACUGCUAUUUAAAAUGGAAUUGGCUGCAGCAGUUGCUCCAGUUUGAAAUGUUAUUUAAGGCUCAUUUUUAACUUUGACUAUUUUAGAUGAAAGUUUUAUGUAAUACCAUAUUUAUUGCCUGCUGUAUUUUUAUAGAAAACCUGGAAAACCUAUUCUAAUUUGUAGUGAUAAUACUAGAAUUCUGAGCCAGGAUGAGGAAGCAUAAUAUGCUUGUUGAGUGCUUUGGAUGGGGGUACCGUACAGGCAGUGAAUGACUUACAAGUUUAGUUGACACAUAUCUCAAAAAUUGUGCUUGAUGCAGUACAAUAAAAGAAUCUGCAGAGAAAAGGUCCAGUUGCAAUACAUGAGCAACAGAUGGCAGCAAAAUCAGAGAAGAAACAAGGCAGUGAAACUGCAGAGCAGGAAUUCUGAAUCCUUUCCAGCCCUUUUACCAGCAGAGGCCAGAGAAGGCAUUUGUAUUUCCUUUUGGGAGAUAUUGGGUUGUGUACAUUUUGUCCUCAUGAAACAACCAGGGUGUGUCGUACAGCCUGUCUCUGUGUAUACCAUGGUAUAUACACAUCAUUAAAGUGUGUACCAUGGGGUUGCUUCCAAAUGUAUGAACGAGAGGGAGUAUAAUCAGGUUGUGUAAAUAUGGGUUUUGUCUGUGUUCUUCUGUUUUCACUGGUGCUAUGUCUGUGCACAAGUACGAGUGAAGGACAAGCUGCAUUUGCUCUACUCUGUGGGUGGGUAGGAAAGGGGCUUAGAAAGAAACAAGCUGUUUUCAAACUGCUUCUUCCAUACAGAAGCAUUGAUUUUUUUUUCCAGUUUUGCUUUCUCUGUAGUUUCCAGUCAGAUCUGUUCUGUCUUUGAUCUUGAUUGUCCUUUCAUUGUGCUGUUCUCAUUUCACAAUUAUUAUUGGGAUGAAGAGAACCUAAACUUCUCCAACAUCAUUUCUUUCCAACUUCCCACUGGACAGGAAAUAAUUUUAAAAGGACAAAGGAAAUAAAAUUACACUCUCAAUUCAGGUUCAACAUCUAUUGAUUAUAUACAUGCAUCCUGCUGGGCACUGUGUCUUUGGAGUCCCAAUGUAAUCUAGUUUCUAGCCCUGGAAUUCCCAGAUAUCCAGUGGUGGGAUUCAGCCAGUUUGCACCACUUCGGCAGAACUGGUAUCUAAUUUUUUGUUGCCCAGGCCCAGAAUGGACUUCAUGAAGCGGCAUCCAUACAGAGAACCGGUUGUUCAUAUAUUUGAAUCCCAUCACUGCAGAUAACCCCCACCUCAUCUCAAUGCUAAGAUAGUCCCUGCUUAGUUUCUUACUUACCAGCCAAGGUCAGUUAAGCACAAUCAAGCUGAGGCUGAACAAAUUAGGCCUGCAAUUAAUAGCUUGAUCAUACAUCAUGAUUGGUUGAUGAGUGGUACAACUGUCUAAAAUAGAUGCUGACAUUUGCUCUGAAAGUAUUCAGUUUUGUUUUUUUAUUUCUUUUCCUCAAGGCUCUUUUCUGGAGAGAUUUCACUCAUUAAACCUGUUAGAAUUCUGUUUGGAAGCUUCUCUCUAGCAAGGGACACAGCCUUUUUAUUGAAUGUAUAAAUAUGAAAUUAAAGAAGCACAAAAAGUUGACCAUGGAAAGAUUGCAUUGGCUUUCCCAUUGUGGAUGUUAGUGAAAUGCACAAUAACACACUGAGUAACAUACCCAAACUUGGUUGAGUGUGGGCAAGCAGGAAUUUUAACAAAGAAGGCAGACAACAAUGUAUGAGGAAUCCAAAUCUGUGGUAGUCUGGAGAUGAACAGAGUUGCCUAAAGCUUCUUAUCUGCUCAGGGCAUCCCACAUUUAUGGGGCCCAAUAACUGGCCCUGGCAAAGGCCAUCUUAAGAUCCUUUUAUCAAGAUUUUUAAUCUUUCAUUCUCUACGGAUAAUAAAAAUAAUGCUGCCACAACAGAGGAAUUUCAUAGUGUCAAAUAAUAUAUUAAAUGUCAAGUUGCACUUUAUUAAUAGUAAGAGUGCUUUAUAAACAAACUAUUUAUAAAAUAAAAUACGGUACAAAACAAAAUUUUAAAAUCAUGCCCUGAAUAGUAAAAUGGAGCAAGGAUAAAUACAGUUAUGAAUGUUACAAAUGUUUUAGUAAAAAUACUGAAAAAUGAGCAUAGAUCUUUUCCAAAUAAAAAUCUAACACAGGCAUCAGAGGUGAAAGAAAUUAUAUAUAAUUUUUAUAUAUGACUAACAUAAAAUAAAUAGAAGUGGUAAAUGAAAAUUUUAUAAAUGAUGAGGAUAUAAAUUAAUGGAAAGGAAAUAUUUUUAAGGAUUAGAAGGUUAAAAUAAUAAUUGGUUGAAAGAAUGAAGACUAUUGAGGAAAAGGGUAGACACUGGGAAAAUACAAAAUUCACAAGCAUUUUGCUGUUACCACCUUAACCAAAGUUCUUCAAACAUUUCUGUUCAGUUGAGACUGAAGUAGCCACACCACAGAGAGCUGAAUAAACCAUUGUGUAAGAUUCAGCCUGCUUUCCCCAAGCACUGUCAUCACACAGCCCCUAAUAAAGUAUGAUUACAUAAAGAUCUCUGUUAUUCCAGUUUUCUUUCCCACCAACCAUGAAUGGAUUCCAUGUAUGGGGAGAAACUAGGUGGAAAAAGCUUAAAUGAGUGCCAUAAAGCUUCAGGAAACCCAGAUUCAAUUCCAAUUGUUUCAGGAUGAAUUCAUUUUACAAAUGAAAGGCAUUUGGGAUAAUGGGCAUAUUUGGAAUUUCAAACAAUAGAGUAGAGCAGAGCAGAAUAUUCUUUAUUGGCCAAUUGUGAUUGGACACACAAGAAAUUUGUCUACAGUGCAUAAACUCUCAGUGUACAUACAAACAGCAAAGUAAUAUAAUCAUAAAAUACCAGUAGAUGAAGGUAAUAGGAAAGAUGAGAAGGAUAAUAGUAAUACAGCCAUAGUACAUAGGUAAAUAUUUUUAGAUAUAAGACAAUGCUGAGGGGAUUAGAUGUUCAGUAGAGUGAUGGCAUGGGGGAAAAUUAUCUCUAUGUCUAGCUGUUUUUGCAUACAAUGCCCUAUAGCAGCAUCCAGAGGGGAAGAAUUGAAACAGUUUAUGUGCAAAAUGUGAAGGGUCUAUAGACAUUUUCUCAGCCCUCUUUCUGGCUUGUGCAAUAUACCAGUCCUCAGAAGACAGGCUGGUUGCAAUUGUUUUUUUUUUUUUCUACAGUCCUUACUAUCUUUUGAAAUCUGAACCUGUCCUAUUUGGUUGCUGUACCAAACCAGAGAGUUAUCAAUAAUUCCUCGGUAGAACUGUAUCAGCGGAUUCUGGGGCAGUCUGAGGUUUCUGAAUUGGCUCAGGAAGAACAUUCUUUGCUGUGCCUUUUUAAUGAUGGGUCUAAUGUUAGGUGCCCAUUUCAAGACCUGGGGGAUUAUAGAAUCCAGAAAUAUGAAGGUCUCUACUGUUGAAACUAUGCUGCCUAAUAUUGUAAGAGGUGGUAGAAUAGGAGACCUCCUUCUAUAAUCUACUAUCAGCUCUACAGUUUAAGUAUGUUCAGUUCUAGAUUGUUCCAGCUGCACCACAGGGCCAGUUGUUCAACCUCCCAUCUGUAUAUUAUUACUAUACUACAUUACAGUAUAUUAUUAUAUUAUAUAUUACUUAUGUAUUAAAACUACAUCUUAUAAUUUAUGAAUUGUUGGCUCAAACAUAUCCUAUGAACUCCAUGAUGUAUAUUCACAAAAUAACUGCUACUAUCAGCAAAACCAAUCACAUCUUUUUAUUUUGUAAUAGUUAUGGGUUUUAUAUUGGGUCCAGAAACAUUCUUAGAAGAUGCUGAAUAUUCUGCUUUUCUUUCCAUUAAUUUUUAAUUAAAACAAUGUUUUGAUGGCAUGCAGCCUGUAAACUGCAAAGAAAUCUCAGAGCAGUGCUGUUCCCCAUGUUACCUACCUUAGCUUAGAAGAAAUACCAAGUCUCACCACAGAACCACAGUUUGACUUGGGAUCCAGCCAAAUAAAAUAUACACCCUUCCUAGAGGUGGUAAUACAAGAUUUAAUCUUGUUCCCCCACUCCUCAAAUUUUAAGCAACCAGCUACUUUCCUUUUCAUCAUGUUGCUCUUUUCUUCCCCACUUUUCCAAGACCUGUUUGAGAAUGUUGUUUUUAAAUAUGGGGGGAAGUAGGGGGAGGGACUAAUUAUCAUUUGGACUUGCCAGAAAAGGAUGGUGAACUAAGUUAAAGUGAUGGGGUCAGAGGGCGAGAGAAAGACAGAAAGACAGGCAGGCAGACAGACAGACAGAUAGACAGAUGUCAUUUUAAUAUUUUAUUUUUAUAAGAGACACUUGUCCUUCAGGGGUUUGACUGGUGCUUUUCUGCCAGUCUGGGCAUUGGAGAUGGAGGUGAAUAGCAACUAUGAAAUCCUUCACUGAAAUCAGCAGAAAAACCAGGUAAUAGUAGCCCAUUCAGCUUCUCAAUAAUUUCAGUAACCUGUUAAUUGCCACUGCCCUCUCACUUCUCUCAAAAUGUGGCAACAAUUACCCACAGGUUUACACCCCCUCACCACAGUGGCAAAUUUCUUCUUUUUUCUAAAGGUAUUGGAAAUCUAAUCUUUCUGGAAGCUGCUCUUUCUGCUUCUCUUUAGAAAUGAUAAUGACUCAUUUGAUAAUUCAGAGGUGCUCUUGAUUUUUUUAUAACAUGCAUUAACUGCAAACUUGUCUUAUAAUUACCAAAUUGUUUCUUUUGUUAGAAGGGCCUUGCAAUACAUUUAUUCAUUCAUACAUACAUACAUACAUACAUACAUACAUACAUAUAAAUCUUUUAUAUAAAUACACAAUUCUAGUCAUUUAUUUAUAUAAAUCCAUCAACAUACAUGGCACUUUAAAAAAUGCAAGCAGAUUAAUCACUGUCCCAAGUGUUUGCAAUAUAAGAUUGACAACAAUAGUAUAAAAAUAGAGAAACAUUUGUUCCAGAGAAGAGAACAUUUAUAUGAGACAGACUCCAAGUAAAAUUAAUCAUAUGAUGUCAACAAUCUUGCAAAGGGAGAAACCUAAAAAAUAAUGCAUGAGAGAAGGUAAUUAAAAAUAAAGCCCAAGGCUCAACAGAGUGCAACAGGACAGAAAUAAAUAGUAUUGGCCUAGAUUCUGAUAUAAAGCCUUCAAUGAAAUCAAGGAGAGUUGAGUUUAUUGUACACAACCCAUUGGUUGGGUUCAUUCAACAUGGUUAAAUCAGGUUAUACGACCAACUGUUGUAUUUAUACAGUAUAAAUAUUACAGCCAAAUACAUCAUAUUAUGGCUUAAUCUAGAAGUCUGCUGCAAAGCCAAGAUUUGUUGCAAUUCAUUUUUGGUUAUUACAAAUAAAUGAAUCAGUAUAUGAACUAUAUUAAAGGUAAAAACAAGUGUAUUUAUUUAUCUUUGAAGUAUGGGGCAAGGUUAUUUUAAAUUGGAGCACUCACCCAAAAUUCUGAUUUCAAUGUAUAUUUGCACAGAUUAAUAUUCCAUUACAAGUAGUCCUUGACUUACGACCACAAUUGAGCCCAAAAUUUCUGUUACUGAGACAUUUGUUAAGUGCGUUUUGCCUCAUUUUACUAAGUUGUUAAGUGAAUUGCUGCAGGUGUUAAGUUAGUAACACAGUUGUUAAGUGAAUCUGGCUUCCCCAUUGACUUAUAUGAGUCAGCAUAUUUACCAAGCAACAAAAUUUUGAUCAUGUGACUAAAGGGAUGUUGUAAUGGUGCUAAGUGUGAAAAAUGGUCAUAAAUCAUUUUUUUCAGUGCCAUUGUAACUUUGAACAAUCAGUAAAUAACUGUUGUUAGACAAGGACUAUCUGUAUAUACUUCUCAAGCUAAACAUAACACAGCCAAUUUACCACAUGACCUAUCUUUCCCAAGAACAGGCUUAUGGCUACAAACUGUUCCACAAACCAUAUGGCCCUUCUUCCUGCAGCCUAGGUAAUGGGUAAUGAGUAACAGAUUCAGAGAGCAUCUAGUAAGAAGUCCUAGACUGGGUUUGUCUUUCUCCACAGGAACAGAAUGAAGCACAAGAGAGUCCAUCCCAAUCAUAGCCUACCAACAAAUUCUUCCAGAAGCUGGAAUUUAUCUAUUAAUAACAAGAAUCCUUUUUUUUUAUCUCUCUAAAGAAUUGAAAUGUCCUUGAGAUGGAUAAUUGUGAACUAUGAAUGAAGCAAUUUGGGUUAUGGCAAAGAAAAAAAGGUUUAAAGUUCAUGUGAUUUCAAGAACCAAUUCCUGGCACUUUCUAUUGCAACAGAAGGUAUUACAGCAGAACAAGCACACAUAUUGAAAUGUUUGCUGUCUCACAAUUUUUUUUAAUAUGGGUCUCUGACUGGUUGCAAAGUUCAGUCUCUAGACCAUGUACAAGGAAAUAUCUUGUUAACCAUUUUGCAGCACCACAAUAGAGAAAUAUUCAAACUAUGCCAGACAUAUCUGAUAAAUGGAGAUUUUUUUAAAGCAUGCACUCAGAGCAGCCAAGCUCUGAAAAGGGAGGAGGGCCCUGCCUGCCUUAGACCUCUGUCUUUCUCAAUUGAUCUGCUGGUCCCCAUGGAGGCUGUCCUAGUUUGAGAAUAACUGAUUUUAUAUAUUAUUAACAUAAAUCAUUUCAAUUCUGUCUGCUAAUUGGGGAAUUCUGGGAGUUGAAAUCAGCACGUUUUAAAGAUGCCAAGUUUGAAAAAUGCUGUCACAGAUGGCCUUAUAGCAUUAUAUUAAAUGAACACUUUCCUGCUAAUGACACUGCAUAAGAUACUUGUACUCAUCCACUGCCUUCCCUAACCAUACCACUUCUGUAUGAUGUUUAGUUUGGAUAAGCUGGAUUUUUGCCUCCAUUUUAUUCUCCAAAAGCAACAUUUGUUGUUAGUUCCUUUUUUGAUUUAAGAUAUUAAAGCACAGUUACUUUUGGGAAAUUGUGCACCUACCUUUGAGUUGAGAAUGGUCAGGCUGAUUGUCCUACAGCUAAGUAAAAGUAGAAGGGAAUACUUUAUUAAGUACCCGAGGUUGCAGUCACUGCUAUUAGACAAGCCUUUCCCAAAUCUCCAAUGUAUCGUACUCUCCAAGAUGUGGAUAUAAACUCCUAAAAUACCCUAGUCAGUGUGGCCAUUGUUGAGAAUCUGGAAAUUAAGAUCUAUAAAUCCAUUUAGGAAUAUUGGCAUUUAUUUUUUGUGGAUAUGAAAAGGCAUAUUUUGAGGUCAGUCCAAGCAAAAAUUUUGUAAUGUUGGAAUUUACCCUGGAAGAUUAAAGAGGCAGAGACCAUAGGCUACCAUAUGCCACAAAAGGCAGCAGAUGUGUGGAUCUAAUAAUUCCAUGAAAAUGAAGAACCUGGUAUUGAUCAAAGAGAUGGGAACAUCAAGCAGCUUCAAACUGGGGAAUUUCAGAAUUCUAAAAUAUAAAACUGACAUGAUGUUAAUGGCUUUGGUGCUGAAAUGGCACUGAGGAGGCUUAGAUUUUAAACUCCAUCCUCAGUCCUGGGAGCUCAUUGGAUGACUAUUAAUUCUUUUAGCCCACCCUACUGCACAUUUUGUUUUGUGGGCGAAAAUGAAAGGAUGAAGUGCUUUUUGUGCCCACUGAGCUCCUGAAAAGAAAGGCAAGAUAUACAUCAAACAAACGAACAAACAAAUAACUCAAGAGUCAGUUUGUUUAAAGAAAACUUUUCCACUUUUGUGGGUGGAAAGCCACUGAAGUUUUAUAAGCCAAAGGAAUACAGAGUAAAACUACUGCUCUGAUUUUAGUGGAUGGGAUUGGACUUCAGCAUAAUUGAAAGGGAUUCAUUAUAGCAAAACAAAAAUUAUACCAAAGAGCAAAAUUGUGUAAUAAAUCCCAAAGAUUACUAAAAAAGCAAGAACUUUGCUGAGUAAUUGAUCAGAAUUUGGUUUUGUAAUGACUAUUGUAUGGUAUUUGUUUUUCUGUGUUCCUACAUCCGUAUUCACCCACUUCACUUUUAAUCUCCCUCAUCCAUCCCAUUCCCCAGAUACAUUAAAAAAAACACAAGUCAUUACAGCUGACUUCAACUGCUUUAAUAGAUACAGCAAUUAGCUGAUGACGAAAAUAGGGAAAAACUUUACUGCAUAUUCUAGUUGUCAAAACAGGAUUUUUGCAUUUUACACAACAGCAACAGCUAGAAUUUCACAGUUUCUAAUAAAAAGUGUUAUUUUUGCACCCUCUUGUAAGGUUAUCACAUCAAAUCAAGGCUCAUUCUUUAAGUGCCAAUGAAGGGCCCUGAGGUUUUCAUGUGAAACACUUUCAGAAAAAUGCACAUUUAU